AGAGUUUGAUCCUGGCUCAGAACGAACGCUAGCGGCGCGUCUGAUUCAUGCAAGUCGAGCGAGAACGUCCCUUCGGGGGCUAGUACAGCGGCGAACUGCUGAGUAAUGCACAGGCAACCUGCCCGCGAGACCGGGAUAACCCUCCGAAAGGAGGCCUAAUACCGGAUAUUAUGCUGAGGCGCAUGUCUUGGUAUGAAACGGUUGGUGCCCUUCGGGGUCUUCCGCUCGCAGAUGGGCCUGUGUCCUAUUAGCUUGUUGGUGGGGUAGUGGCCUACCAAGGCAUUGAUGGGUAGCCGACCUGAGAGGGUGACCGGCCAGACUGGGACUGAGACACUGCCCAGACUCCUACGGGAGGCAGCAGAGGAGGAUCAUCCGCAAUGGGCGCAAGCCUGACGGUGCGACGCCGCGUGAGGGAAGAAGGCCUUUGAGUCGUAAACCUCUGUCAGGAACUAGGAACGUGAGGUGGGUAAAUAGCCCAUCCUGUUGACCGGUUCCAAAGGAAGGACCUGCUAACUUCGUGCCAGCAGCAGCGGUAAUACGGAGGGUCCCAGCGUUGUUCGGAAUUACUGGGCGUAAAGGGGGUCUAGGCGGACAGGUCAGUCGGGUAUGAAAGCCCUCGGCUCAACCGGGGAACGGUGCCCGAUACUGCCUGUCUUGAGUGCAGCAGAGGAGAGUGGAACUCCUGGUGGAGCGGUGAUAUGCGUAGAUAUCAGGAGGAACGCCGGAGGCGAAAGCGACUCUCUGGGCUGCUACUGACGCUGAAGCCCGAAAGCCAGGGGAGCGAACGGGAUUAGAUACCCCGGUAGUCCUGGCCGUAAACGAUGGGCACUAGGUAUGGGGAGUUCCUACACUCUUCUUGCCGUAGCUAACGCGUUAAGUGCCCCGCCUGGGGAGUACGGUCGCAAGACUAAAACUCAAAGGAAUUGACGGGGGCUCGCACAAGCGGUGGAGCAUGUGGCUCAAUUCGAGGCAACGCGAAGAACCUUAUCCUGGGCUUGACAUGCUGGUGGUACGGACCUGAAAGGGCGAGGACCUCUUUACGGAGGAGCCAGCACAGGUGCUGCAUGGCUGUCGUCAGCUCGUGUCGUGAGAUGUCGGGUUAAGUCCCUCAACGAGCGAAACCCUUGUCGUUAGUUGCCAGCGGGUAAUGCCGGGGACUCUAACGAGACUGCCGGUGUCAAACCGGAGGAAGGUGGGGAUGACGUCAAGUCCUCAUGGCCCUUAUGCCCAGGGCUGCACACGUGCUACAAUGGCCGGUACAGAGGGAAGCAAGACCGCGAGGUGGAGCGAAUCCCUAAAAGCCGGUCUCAGUUCGGAUUGGAGGCUGCAACUCGCCUCCAUGAAGUUGGAAUCGCUAGUAAUCGCGGAUCAGCUACGCCGCGGUGAAUACGUUCCCGAGCCUUGUACACACCGCCCGUCAAGUCAUGAGAGCUGGGGGUGCCCGAAGUCGUCUAUCUAACCUUCGGGAGGAAGAUGCCUAAGGCAAACCCGGUGAUUGGGACUAAGUCGUAACAAGGUA
rnacentral:rRNA from 1 species